rnacentral:rRNA from 1 species
GGCCUGGCUGAGUGGUCUGCCUUUUGGUACGUACUGCUCUGGCUGGGUCUUACCUUCUGGUGAGCCGUCAUGUUCUUCACUGGGCGUGGCGGGGAACCAGGACUUUUACUUUGAAAAAAUUAGAGUGUUUAAAGCAGGCCUACGCUUGAAUACAUUAGCAUGGAAUAAUAAAAUAGGACUUUGGUUCUAUUUUGUUGGUUUCUAGGACUGAAGUA